UACACCUGCUAAUUUGAAAAAAGUCUCCAGUUUUUCUCAUUCUUAAUAUGAAGAAAUGGCUUCUGGAAAACAAUUGUUUCUUUUUUCCUUCUGACAUGGGAGCUGCUAGUGGAAAUAGUUUUAUACAGCUAAUAGAAAAUAUGCAAAAAGCUACUAAAUUUCUGUGCUACUAAUAAAAACAAUUAAACGUAACUUAAAAAUAGCCCAAUGAACACCUGAUAGCAAGAAAUCAUCAAGAUGUACAUCAUCUUGUAAAACUGGAAAAUUAUUAUGCAACAGUUAAUACCAAAAUAUUGAUCCCUUGUUACACAGUUGAUACCACAUCCCCAAAUAGAGACUCUGUAUCCCUUGCUAGUCUGAAUGUAACCUAGGACCACACCAAUAUACUUUGGCACCUGAGUCAGAUAAUGCAAAUAGUAGCUUCCCCAUGGUAAACAAUAUUCCAAAAUUCAGUUUCCCCCUACCUUUUAUAACAAAAACAGAUUUAUAACAAAUCUGCUGUCUGCACAGCAGCCUCAGUCUGUCAGCAGGGGCAGCCCUGAUGUAGCUACAUGUCAAAGAUACUAUUGUCUUGUCUUAACGUCUCUCUUUCUUUCAAUACUCUCCUCACCUGCAGCACUUAUCUUUGACUUAAUAUCUCUGUAAUUAAUUGAAACUGGCUCCUCCUAAGGUUUGUCACCUUUCACCUAUCAGAUUGGGUUUGAAUUCCCCUGCACCAACCUUGAAUACUCUUCAUGUACAUAACUGGAGACCAACUAUUGAAUGUAUGUCUUUAGUCUUCUGCCAUAGUGGCUAUAGAGAUAGUGUUGAUCUUUAGUACACAUACAAAAUACAGAAUUAGAUAAUCAUAUAAGUUAGGAAAAUAUGUGUUUUUCCACUUGAAAUGUAUACAAAUAAUCUCCAGUACAACUUAAUUGGGCACUGGGACGCAGGUGGCGCUGUGGGUUAAAACUACAGAGCCUUGGGCUUGCUGAUCAGAAGGUCAAGGGUUCGAAUCCCCACGAUGGGGUGAGCUCCCAUUGCUCGGUCCCAGCUCCUGCCAACCUAGCAGUUCGAAAGCACGUCAAAGUGCAAGUAGAAAAAUAGGUACCGCUCCAGCGGGAAGGUAAAUGGCGUUUCUGUGUGCUGCUCUGGUUUACCAGAAGCGGCUUAGUCAUGCUGGCCACAUGACCCGGAAGCUGUACGCUGGCUUCCUCAGCCAAUAAAGCAAGAGGGGUGCCACAACCCCAGAGUCAUCCGCAACUGGACCUAAUGGUCAGGGGUCCCUUUACCUUUACCAAUUCAUUUCAAAUAUGGCAUCUCCAGAGAAAAAAUUCUGAAGCAAUGGGGGGGGGGUUGAGUGUGUGUGACCUGAGAUGGAAUGAGUUGUACUCACGUCCCGCUUGCAGACUUCCCACAGGCUUCUAGUUGGCCACUCUUGACAACAGGAUGCUGAAGUAGACAGGCCAUUGGCCUGAUCCAGCAGGCUCUUAUGUUCUUAAUGCACAUUAAGUUUUAUGUAAGCAACAAAGAAAAAAUUCAUGAUACCCUUCAAUUUUCAAGAAACAUCAAUCAAAGGCAGAAGCACUGCAGUCUCUGUGACAAAACUUUCUUGUGAAAUCUUGGACUCUUCCUGAAGCUACUCUCCUUACAGUGACACUAGCGAGUGACUCAGUACCUCAAAACAUGUGAUUCACUGGCAACAAAAGGAAAAAGUUGCUUUAAUAGAAAAGGUGCUUUUUUAACAAACCCUUUAUCCACAAGUCCCAUGUCAGAAAUAUGUGCAUUCUAAACCAAAAUUAAGGGCAAUCAAAUUAAGUAAGCAAUACAGAUUACAAGUAGCUGCAGCAACAGAAAUGCCCGCUAUACCUCCUUCCCAAAAUCCUGAGAAAAGAGAUGUGCCUGCUGCUGAAACAACAUCAGUGUCAUGGCGAGAGAUACCUCAGAGAGUAGGUCAUUCCAAAGGUGAGGGACCACUACAAAGAAAGCCUGCCCAUGGACCCCCGCCCCACAAAUCUCAUUAGAUGUGAGAACCACCACCAGUGCUUCCCCUGCACAUCUAAUUUUAAUGCUCUCCCUGUUAAACUUAAGGCUAAAUAAAAGUUUCUUCAGUACCAGACCCAUGGUGUGAAAUAUUUCACCAGAACAUCAGCUGUGAUCUUCAAAGUGACUGUAUAACACUUCAGACUUCAGGGUCAGACUGCUUUUUAAAAAUGCAAAUAUAAUAUGACGCCAUCAGACAAGGCAUUAACAAAAGGACAACAAAAUAUUUUGGUAACACUUGAUUGUCCAUUUCCUUUUGUACCAUUCAUAUUUGUUUUUUGAAAUCAUUAAGUCUGUCCUCAGUAAUACAUUCGGCAGUAAAACAAGAAUGAUUUCUCUUUCAGUAACUAUCUAAAUAAAUUCUCAAAGUCAUAUUGAAAUAGUUCCUUGUAUAUCAUGUUCCUUCGAAACAAGUGAUUGAAUUAAGAGUUUCUAGAUGAAGUCAAGUACUUAAAGCAAAUCAGAAUUUUUUGUCUUCAGCCACUAUGAAAACAGAGAUUCAAGAUGAAAAGACCGUCUUGCCUUUUUUCCUAGCUUACACGGCUCGGCUCGUUUAUUUUUCCCAGUAGACACACUUGCAAAUCAGGCUACAGCUACACUUGGAAGUGCAGGGGUCUAGCUCCUGACCUCAGUUAGGUUAGUCCAUCCCAGCUGAAGAGCUCCCCCUUAGAUCACUGACUUGCUAUUAUUCUGUGGUUAAUAGGCCUGACCUGUGCAAUAUAUAUAAUAAAAACCUGGCUACAGUCCUAUCUCUAGUUUGAAUGCAUACCAAUUCUGUAUCUGACGCUUGCUAUAUAAUGAAAGGCAAACAAUGAAAGGGCCAAAUCAGUUUUACCAAAAAUAUAUUUGUCCAACAGUGUGGUGCAAAGAUGCUCCCAAUUUAGUCUGAGCUGUUUAUGUUGCACUGGAUGAGGGAGUUAAAAACAGCACCACAUAAAAAUCAAGGCAUCUUGUGGGAGAGAUACGUUUCCUUUCAGACAGCUUUUUCUUUAACCUGUGGCUAAUUAAAAAAUAAAUAAAUCCUGGUAUCUAUGGGAAUUUUCUUACAACCAGGAAGCCUGUUAAAGAGAAAGUAGCAGCACAACUCUCCCCCCCCCCACUCCAGCAUAGCCCCCUUAUGUCACAUUUGCAUUUCUAUUCCGCUGAACUGCCUGACAAUGAAGCAAAUGGGUUUGCCUUAUCUGUACAAUUCUGGACAACAGAGAUUUCUAAGCCAUACAAAAGAACAGCCUUACCAUUCAGCGGUUCAACACUUUCCACUGCAGUCCCCCAAGAUCCUGCGGGGAAUGCUGUCACAUAAACACCUGUCCCUACC
rnacentral:lncRNA from 1 species